rnacentral:rRNA from 1 species
ACGAUAUGCUUUGGGGAGCUGUAAGUAAGCUUUGAUCCAGAGAUUUCCGAAUGGGGAAACCCAGCAUGAGUUAUGUCAUGUUAUCGAUAUGUGAAUACAUAGCAUAUCAGAAGGCACACCCGGAGAACUGAAACAUCUUAGUACCCGGAGGAAGAGAAAGAAAAUUCGAUUCCCUUAGUAGCGGCGAGCGAAACGGGAAGAGCCCAAACCAACAAGCUUGCUUGUUGGGGUUGUAGGACACUCUAUACGGAGUUACAAAGGACGACAUUAGACGAAUCAUCUGGAAAGAUGAAUCAAAGAAGGUAAUAAUCCUGUAGUCGAAAAUGUUGUCUCUCUUGAGUGGAUCCUGAGUACGACGGAGCACGUGAAAUUCCGUCGGAAUCUGGGAGGACCAUCUCCUAAGGCUAAAUACUCUCUAGUGACCGAUAGUGAACCAGUACCGUGAGGGAAAGGUGAAAAGCACCCCGGAAGGGGAGUGAAAUAGAACCUGAAACCGUGUGCUUACAAGUAGUCAGAGCCCGUUAAUGGGUGAUGGCGUGCCUUUUGUAGAAUGAACCGGCGAGUUACGAUUUGAUGCAAGGUUAAGCAGUAAAUGUGGAGCCGUAGCGAAAGCGAGUCUGAAUAGGGCGUUUAGUAUUUGGUCGUAGACCCGAAACCAGGUGAUCUACCCUUGGUCAGGUUGAAGUUCAGGUAACACUGAAUGGAGGACCGAACCGACUUACGUUGAAAAGUGAGCGGAUGAACUGAGGGUAGCGGAGAAAUUCCAAUCGAACCUGGAGAUAGCUGGUUCUCUCCGAAAUAGCUUUAGGGCUAGCCUCAAGUGAUGAUUAUUGGAGGUAGAGCACUGUUUGGACGAGGGGCCCCUCUCGGGUUACCGAAUUCAGACAAACUCCGAAUGCCAAUUAAUUUAACUUGGGAGUCAGAACAUGGGUGAUAAGGUCCAUGUUCGAAAGGGAAACAGCCCAGACCACCAGCUAAGGUCCCAAAAUAUAUGUUAAGUGGAAAAGGAUGUGGCGUUGCCCAGACAACUAGGAUGUUGGCUUAGAAGCAGCCAUCAUUUAAAGAGUGCGUAAUAGCUCACUAGUCGAGUGACACUGCGCCGAAAAUGUACCGGGGCUAAACAUAUUACCGAAGCUGUGGAUUGUCCUUUGGACAAUGGUAGGAGAGCGUUCUAAGGGCGUUGAAGCAUGAUCG